GCACCGUCGCACUGCCCAGCCGCACGCGCACGUACCCAUCGCUCCACCGGUACGCACACAGAAGCAUUUCCAGACCCGCACACGCACGGGGCUCGUCCUUCUCCCUGUGCCUCUCCUCGCUUUCUCCUUUCUUCCACCCAGACGGAAAGCAAGGGGGUGAGGCCUGCGUAACCCACACGGAGGCGCGGAAGUGGGCAGACACACGAGCACAGACACACAGAGGUCCGAGAAACAGGCGUGUGCGGCCCUCCUGCUGCAAGAACAACGCGACGCAGACGGCACUGAAGGAGAAAAGGUGAGCACGUGGAAAAGGAAGAGAACACGCGGCCGCACUUGACUUUGGAAAUUCCGCCGCAGUACAGAGACGCGAGAGAGACGUGCGGCAGCGGCGGCAGCACAGGUGCACGCUUGUUCGUGAGCACAUUGUCAAUGCAUGUGGCAGAUACCAUCUGUGUCUCAGUGUAUCUGAUGGUGACCAGCGGCUGCAGGCGCGAACUCCAAAACCUCGCCGCCAUCAAGCGCUUGCUUUUCCGCAUGCCUGCCUCUUUCUCUCACACCUUCUGCGCUGUCUCUUGAG
rnacentral:misc_RNA from 1 species